GAUGAACGCUGGCGGCGUGCCUAAUACAUGCAAGUCGAGCGAACAGAUGAGGAGCUUGCUCCUCUGACGUUAGCGGCGGACGGGUGAGUAACACGUGGAUAACCUACCUAUAAGACUGGGAUAACUUCGGGAAACCGGAGCUAAUACCGGAUAAUAUAUUGAACCGCAUGGUUCAAUAGUGAAAUACGGUUUUGCUGUCACUUAUAGAUGGAUCCGCGCCGCAUUAGCUAGUUGGUAAGGUAACGGCUUACCAAGGCGACGAUGCGUAGCCGACCUGAGAGGGUGAUCGGCCACACUGGAACUGAGACACGGACCAGACUACUACGGGAGGCAGCAGUAGGGAAUCUUACGCAAUGGGCGAAAGCCUGACGGAGCAACGCCGCGUGAGUGAUGAAGGUCUUCGGAUCGUAAAACUCUGUUAUUAGGGAAGAACAAAUGUGUAAGUAAAUAUGCACGUCUUGACGGUAACUAAUCAGAAAGCCACGGCUAACUACGUG
rnacentral:rRNA from 1 species